rnacentral:lncRNA from 1 species
AAGAAGUUGAAUUUUCAAUAAAUGUUUCAACCGGUUUACAUGUUUGGGAUUGCUUUUCCUAAGGAAAAAUUUGUUUUCUAAGUACAUUUGGUAAGUAAUUCUCACAUAAUUAAAAUCUCUUUUGAUAGACACUUGUCAGAUGAUUUUCCAACAAGUACUUGUCAAGUUCUUAUUUCGACGCUUUAAUUAUAAAAACUCUUUUAACAAAAACACUUAAAAGCAAUCCCAAAUAAAACUGGUAGAAGAUUUGUUUAUGAACAGAAAUGCUUUAUGGAUAAGUAGUUCCGAACGGUUCUAAUUCAAAAGAAACAAAAAGAAAGAAGAUGAAAGGUGGAGAGUGGGAUCCCCUUAGAGGCUAAGGUUUGCUUUUUUCUUUUCAGGACUAUUUCAUUCCCCAGAAUUCUGUGUUUAAGCAGAUAUUUUUUUUUUUUUAAAUUUUUAUGGACAAAUAGCAUAAAAGCAGUUUAGAGGCUAAUUAAUUAUAACGGGUACCAACUUAAUCAAAAUAAAAGUGCAUGUCUAGCAGCUAAACAUAAAGUGGUUGUCUCAUUAUGUGGCUUAAUUAAAAUUCUUUACCUAUAAUUCACACAACGAGCUAACCUUAAUAAAUUGGGACUGGGAAGUGAAGGAUUCUUGCUAAGGCAUACAAUGUGCCAGCCUUAGUAAAUUGGGUAUCAAACUUAUUAUCCAUGGAGUAAGUGAUGGAUUGCCCUCAUCAUCUAUCCAUUGCGUCCCAACUCUCCUCCCUCUCCUUAGGGCAUGUUUACGUAAUGGUAAUCAUAAUCAAAAUGUGAAAUUAAAUUCUAAUUACGAGAUACUUCAUUAUUUAUCAAAUAUUGGAGAAUUAAAAAGUUGGCUAGACCCACACGAAUUUUGGAAUCCAACCAUUUAGUUGGUAUUUGAAUUCUGGGUUGUUGGGGAAAUUCGAAAUGGGAUUUUUCAUCCCCAUAAGACCCUCACUUAUUUCUAAGAUUCUAAGAUUGUUCUUCACAUUAACCCAACACCACCAACCGCUGCGCAAUUUAAUAUGAAAUUCAACAAUAAUAAUAACAUUAAUAUAAACAAAUUUAAAAAAAUAAAUAAAUUUUAGUGUAUUUAAUAUUUAGUGAAAUGAGGUGUUUAACUUUUAUUCUAUUAAUUAGUACAUAAAAUUUAACCAAAAAAUUAGUAUAUAUAAUAAUUUAUUGCAAAUAAGGACAUUUUAGUAAGCAUGUUAAUUUUUAUUCUGAUUCAAGUGAACUAGUAAACAAUUUAUAACAAGAAGGGCCUAGGGUUUGUUGCCAUUAGUCAAUUCCCUUCUAAUUCUAGAGGGUUUUAAUAAACAAUAUGAAUCAAAUUUUGAUUCCUCUACAUUUCAACUUUUUAUCAAUUCAAUUUCUCCCAUUUUAAUUACAGAUUAGUAAACAAGUCAGUGUAGAUUAUCGUUUGUAAUAAAAUAAAACUCACUAUCUAUAAAAGUCAAACCUAAGACCUUUAAUUUAUAACUAUAUGGGAUAUGAAUGUAGAACUUAAAGGUAAUUUAUUUUUAAAUACAUCAAUAUUAUUUUUACAUUAAAAUUUGAGCUAAACCACUCCAUAAUAACAUGGUAUUGCACACAUAAUCUACGAAAUUCAAA